GCGCUUGUAGCUCAGUGGUUAGAGCACUCGCUUGAUAAGCGAGGGGUCGCUAGUUCAACUCUAGCCAGGCGCA
rfam:Turneriella parva DSM 21527, complete genome.